UACGUAGGUGGCAAGCGUUGUCCGGAUUUACUGGGCGUAAAGAGCGCGCAGGCGGCUGGGCAAGUCCGAUGUGAAAGCUCCCGGCUUAACUGGGAAAUUGCAUCGGAAACUGCUCGGCUUGAAGGUGGGAGAGGGUAGCGGAAUUCCCGGUGUAGUGGUGAAAUGCGUAGAGAUCAUGAGGAAGACCAGUGGCGAAGGCGGGUCUCUGGACAGUUCCUGACACUGAGACACGAAGGCCAGGGGAGCAAACGGG
rnacentral:rRNA from 1 species